rnacentral:rRNA from 2 species
AACGCGGAGGCCUAUUGGGUGACGGUGAUAGCACCUGAUUGAUUUUGGUCGCCAACGAGUGGCGGACGGGUGAGUAACACGUAGGUAACCUGCCCAGAAGCGGGGGACAACAUUUGGAAACAGAUGCUAAUACCGCAUAACAGCGUUGUUCGCAUGAACAACGCUUAAAAGAUGGCUUCUCGCUAUCACUUCUGGAUGGACCUGCGGUGCAUUAGCUUGUUGGUGGGGUAACGGCCUACCAAGGCGAUGAUGCAUAGCCGAGUUGACAGACUGAUCGGCCACAAUGGGACUGAGACACGCCCCAUACUCCUACGGGAGGCAGCAGUAGGGAAUCUUCCACAAUGGGCGCAAGCCUGAUGGAGCAACACCGCGUGAGUGAAGAAGGGUUUCGGCUCGUAAAGCUCUGUUGUUAAAGAAGAACACGUAUGAGAGUAACUGUUCAUACGUUGACGGUAUUUAACCAGAAAGUCACGGCUAACUACGUGCCAGCAGCCGCGGUAAUACGUAGGUGGCAAGCGUUAUCCGGAUUUAUUGGGCGUAAAGAGAGUGCAGGCGGUUUUCUAAGUCUGAUGUGAAAGCCUUCGGCUUAACCGGAGAAGUGCAUCGGAAACUGGAUAACUUGAGUGCAGAAGAGGGUAGUGGAACUCCAUGUGUAGCGGUGGAAUGCGUAGAUAUAUGGAAGAACACCAGUGGCGAAGGCGGCUACCUGGUCUGCAACUGACGCUGAGACUCGAAAGCAUGGGUAGCGAACAGGAUUAGAUACCCUGGUAGUCCAUGCCGUAAACGAUGAGUGCUAGGUGUUGGAGGGUUUCCGCCCUUCAGUGCCGGAGCUAACGCAUUAAGCACUGGUCUUGAAAUUAAGUUGGGCACUCUAGUGAGACUGCCGGUUAUGACCUGGGCUACACACGUGCU